rnacentral:rRNA from 1 species
GCUGACCGGGGCGCAGUCUGAUGCAGCCCUGCCGCGUGUAUGAAGAAGGCCUUCGGGUUGUAAAGUACUUUCGUCGGGGAGGAAGGGAGUAAAGUUAAUACCUUUGCUCAUUGACGUUACCCGCAUAAAAAGCCCCGGCUAACUCCGUGCCAGCGUCCGCGGUAAUAAA